GUCCACGCCCUAAACGAUGCAUAUUUGGUGUAGGUCAUUCAGUUGAUCUGUGCCGGAGCUAACGCGUUAAAUAUGCCGCCUGGGGAGUACAGUCGCAAGGCUUAAACUCAAAGGAAUUGACGGGGGCCCGCACAAGCGGUGGAGCAUGUGGUUCAAUUCGACGCAACGCGAAGAACCUUACCUGGGCUCGAACGGCUUCUCAACGGUCAUGGAAACAUGGCUACUCCGCAAGGGGGUGGAGUCGAGGUGCUGCAUGGCUGUCGU
rnacentral:rRNA from 1 species